CCUAACCGUGCGAAGGUAGCGUAAUCACUUGUUCUUUAAAUGAGGACUAGUAUGAAUGGCCCCCACGAGGGCUGCACUGUCUCCUUUUUCCAAUCAAUGAAAAUAAUCUCCCCGUGAAGAAGCGGGGAUAACCCUAUAAGACGAGAAGACCCUAUGGAGCUUUAAACAACUGAAACAUUUGCUUCUCCCCUGACCUCUCCUGAGCUCUUUAUUUUACUUAAGCAUUUUUAUUUCUAGUUUUAGGUUGGGGUGACCGCGGAGCAAAACUAAACCUCCAUGAAGAAUGAAUAUUUUUAAGCCACAAACUACUUUUUUAAGCAUCAACAAAUUGACCUUCAUUGACCCAAUAUAUUGAUCAACGAACCAAGUUACCCUAGGGAUAACAGCGCAAUCUACUUCAAGAGCUCAUAUCGACAAGUAGGUUUACGACCUCGA
rnacentral:rRNA from 1 species